CGUCAACGUCAUAACUGCAUUUUUUGGACUCAAAUAUUUGGUUUCUAUACAUUAUACGAGUAGUAACGUUCUUCGCUUUGUCUUAUGACCUAAUGACCAAUUAAGGGCUAAAGGAACUCCUCCACAAGUGUUCUUGGAACGGGUCCAAAUGUGUUAUAGCAAACGCCAGGAAUGAAAAUGUUUUGAUCUUGAAGCAGGUUAAUGGUUAAUCUGUACUGUACCCCUGAAACUAGCAGCAGGGGGGUCAUGUAAUUGGAACAUGACAAUGCCUCCCCAAACCCUCUUUGAGGCUUUUAAUGGCCCUUUCAAUGCAAAUUUCGCUUCUAAACGUGACGGUCAUAACAAGGUCACAAGGUCAAACCUAACCUAAACAACUAAUCAAGCAACGAAAAUUCUAGGUGUUUAAACCUUUUCUUAUUUGUUUAUAAGUGAUCUAGUAUUUAAAUUUUGCUCUACUUUACUACAAUAAAGAAAUAUUUCAAUUUU